UUGGAGUGAUGGCUCAAAGUACAGUGACUGGCUUACUGGUGAGCCAAAUGAAAAUGGAGGAAAGGAAAAUUGUUUGGAGCUGGCCUAUGGAGCUGAGCAACGCUGGAAUGAUCUGGACUGUGCCACUCCUCUCAAUUUCAUCUGUUUGAUUUCUCUUCCUGCUUGUUAAUCUCAUCUGUCCAUCACCCGAGAGGCUUUGGUUUUUGGAUUAAUGUUAGUCUCUGCAAAAAUAAAAGUGAAGUGGACUUCAA